GUGCUUGCUUUGACAGCACAUACACUAAAAUUGGAGUGAUACAGAGAUUAGCUUGGCCACUGCACAGGGAUGACACGCAAAUUCGCGAAGCGUUCCAUAUCUUU
ensembl:snRNA U6 U6 spliceosomal RNA